GACAGAGGUGCCGAGCGUUAGGCGGAAUCACUGGGCUUAAAGCGUGUGUAGGCGGGCGGGCAAGUACCUUGUGAAAUCCCACGGCUCAACCGUGGAACGGCUGGGUAUACUGCCUGUCUUGAGCCAACUAGGGGCGAGCGGAACAGACGGUGGAGCGGUGAAAUGCGUAGAUAUCGUCGGGAACGCCAAAGGUGAAAACAGCUCGCUGGGGUUGUGCUGACGCUGAGACACGAAAGCCAGGGGAGCGAACGGG
rnacentral:rRNA from 1 species